GACAGAGGGGGCAAGCGUUGCUCGGAAUUACUGGGCGUAGAGGGCGCGUAGGCGGGAUGGCAAGUCGGUCGUGAAAUCCCUCGGCUCAACCGAGGAACGUCGAUCGAUACUGCUGUUCUUGAGGAUUGCAGAGGAGACUGGAAUUCCCGGUGUAGCGGUGAAAUGUGUAGAGAUCGGGAGGAACACCGGUGGCGAAGGCGGGUCUCUGGGCAAUUCCUGACGCUGAGGCGCGAAAGCGUGGGGAGCAAACGGG
rnacentral:rRNA from 1 species